CGGCGCGGUCCCGCAGGGCUUUUCCCGCUUCUUGCUCCCCUGGGCCUGGCUGGGGAGGAAUGCUGUUUCCUGACUGAUUCCUGGUGCCCCCUGCCCGGGCUGAUAAGUAAAUUGCAUCAGAGCUAAUGACGAGUUAAAAGAAAUGUACACUGAUUCCAGAUGCGGAAGUGGUGGCAGGCUCAAAGAGGAAGCACAGCACAAAGCCACGGGGUCCCUUCGUGGAGAUGGAGCCGCUCAGAGAGGAAGAAGGAAAAAAACUGUAAAAGCAUACAUCUCCCCAAACCCCUUCUGCCUAAUCCAACUGAAUUAGAGGAUUUUGAAGUGGAUUUAAAACUAAAUCUUGAUUAG
rnacentral:lncRNA from 1 species